AUCAAAGACACCAUCGAAGUUUCUUUCCUCAACUGCCUAUGAUUUUAUUUUCCCAAAAAAUAAAAUAUAUAAACAGUAUAGUACAAUUAAGCAACAAAUUAAUUAAUCAAAAGAAGAAAAUUGACCUAACCCCCCGCCCCGUCCUAUUUGCUCCAAUUUCUUGCCUGCUGAAUUUUUAGAAGUGUUACUGCUCCCACUAAUUUUAUUUAGACGUUACAUAAUACAAUUUCAGGUCAUCGAGGAUAUGUAGGAAGGACGCAGAUUAGAAUAGAAUGAUAAUUGGGUAGAGUGUUGUGUGUUGCUUUUUCAGGUUUUAACCUUAUUGGUGUUUGUUGUGCACUAGCCAUAGCAUGAUAGUUUAGGGUUUAGCCAUAAAUAUGGAGAUGAUACAUUAGAGAUAUCAAGCCGAGGGUCUGUAGAAACAGCCUCUCUACCCUACAAAUGUAGGAGUAAGAAUUUGACUUUCCAUAAGCAAUAAGUCUCCGAGAGCUUCUUCCUCUAACAUGAGAAAUUUCAUUUCCGUUGUUCUCUAGUGUUUUGGCGGGCCUGAAUUUUAGUCUCCUUGGACUGAGUUUCUCAGACUGAAAAUCAAUUAUUUUUCCUCUCCUGAACUUGAGAUUUUUAGGACUGCCAUUGCAGCCCUUCCAGCUUUUAUAUAUUAGUUUGGAGUUGCUGUUCCACUUUUCUUGGAACUGCUGACUAUUGCAUCACCAU